CGCGGGGUAGCUCAGUUGGGAGAGCGCUGGACUCAUAAUCCAGAGGUCGUCGGUUCAAGUCCGAUCCCCGCAA
rnacentral:tRNA from 1 species